rnacentral:rRNA from 1 species
UACGGAGGAUCCGAGCGUUAUCCGGAUUUAUUGGGUUUAAAGGGUGCGCAGGCGGAAGAUUAAGUCGGUGGUGAAAUUUUGCAGCUCAACUGUAAAAGUGCCAUUGAUACUGGUUUUCUUGAGUGUAGAUGAAGUAGGCGGAAUUUGUGGUGUAGCGGUGAAAUGCAUAGAUAUCACGAGGAACUCCGAUUGCGCAGGCAGCUUACUAAACUACUACUGACGCUCAGGCACGAAGGCGUGGGGAUCAAACAGGAUUAGAUA